AUGAACGCCAGCGACAGGCCUAACACAUGCAAGUCAGGGGCAGCACAAGGAGCAAUCUGAGGUGGCGACCGGCGCACGGGUGAGUAACACGUAUGCAACCUGCCUGUAAGCGGGGAAUAACCCGUUGAAAGACGGACUAAUACCGCAUAAUACUAAAUUACUGCAUGGUAAUUUAUUUAAACAUUUAUGGCUUACAGAUGGGCAUGCGCAUGAUUAGCUAGUUGGAGAGGUAACGGCUCCCCAAGGCAACGAUCAUUAGGGGUUCUGAGAGGAAGGUCCCCCACACUGGUACUGAGACACGGACCAGACUCCUACGGGAGGCAGCAGUGAGGAAUAUUGGUCAAUGGACGAGAGUCUGAACCAGCCAAGUCGCGUGCAGGAAGAAUGUCCUAUGGAUUGUAAACUGCUUUUGCAGGGGAAUAAAGUGCAUCACGUGUGAUGUUUUGUAUGUACUCUGCGAAUAAGGAUCGGCUAACUCCGUGCCAGCAGCAGC
rnacentral:rRNA from 1 species